AGGAGGGAGCGGCCACCGGGAAGGGCUCGCAGCCGCCGCCCCGGGGCACAACGCGUGUAGCCGGCCCGGCCACCCGUAGGUUGGACAGCGCCCGAGGAAGUAAGGUUCCCAGGAUCUAGUUUGAGCGCCACAUCCCAUCACCAAUUCCCAGCCUACUGCUCUACUUCCUGCCAGCCCUCACAGGCAUUUGGACCUGAGACCCAUAGUGUCAAAGUCUCACCUGAAGGACCAAGGACAGGACCAAGACCAGUGACAAAACCUACAUCUUUGAGCCACAGCCAAGAAGAAAGAGGACCAGGCUGGGAAUCUUUUCUCACUCUGUUCUUCGUCAUCAGGGUGGACCCAACCCAUUCUCUUCCUGGAAGUAAAGCCAAAGGAUGAAACAAAGUAAGAUGCAUGAAAGUGGGCAUUGUGAUGAUUGCCACCAGGCCUGAUGACCUGAGUUCCAUUCCCAGAACCGGCAUGGAAGAAGAAAAGAAUAAACUCCUAUUUGAGUCACUCUCUGACCUCACACACUCCUACCCCACCGCACAAACAAAUAAAUUUAACUUUAAAAAGUUUUAAAGACACAUGAAAGUACAUAAUGAAAAGGAAACCUUUCAAAUGUUGCAUUUUACCAAAUCUAAGAAUCCAUUUUUAAGUCACAGCAUUCAGAAAGAAAAAACAUGAUACAGAUGCAAAUAUGACCUAUCAAUUUUAAGAUGCUUCAAGAUUUCAUUAAUGUUUACGUGAAAAAAAACUGCUUUAGAAUUGUCACAGCAUUCUUAACUAUGUAUUAUGCUGAGAGCUGCUGGUAGUGACGGCUUUACCAGAGGCUGUGGGAGUAUACAGCAGGUGACAACUAGUAUUCAACAGGUUGACCUACGAGAUGAAUAACUCUCUGAUGGGAAACCCCACUUGGCAAAGACCAUGGGGUCACUGAUUGUAAGUGACUGGCUGUACCCAUCUGUAAUUGUUCUCAUGUGCCACUACAUUUCUCCCCUAAGAACUGCCAUGGGUGUUUUCCCACUGCUUGUGUGUUUAUCUCAUGUAUGUAUUCCAUCUAUUGGGCACACUUACAGCUGUGGAUGGUCAAGAAGAUGAUUUCUGCUUAAACUGUAUAAUUCUGAUGAACAGAAAUAAUACUGGGAUUUUUUCAUAACUGACAUAACAAAGUAACAGUAUUCUCAGUCACAAAGACAGCCUUUUACACAUUUAGCUAGCUCAAAACAGACUAGCUGCCCCUGCAGAGAAUACACAAAGACAAGUUCCCAAGUGUUUGUUGAAUCAAGGCAGGGCAUGAAACAACUUUGGUAGACAUAACCCUCUGCAGUAAUGGACUUUCUGCACGUACCCCUACCACUCAAGGUACAGCCAACUAAUUGUUUAUUGUUUAGGUCCUGGGUUUCAAUGUCACUUCCCAUCUGGGAACCCUGACCACUCAGAGCUACGUGUUACUUUACUCACCAUACCCAAUAAAUACUACCUCCCUAGCCUGAGAGAAACUGUGUGACUUAUCAUGUGUUAUGAGAAUGGGUCAGACCCUGAAAUUGUAACAUAUAAUUGUCCAGAGUUUGGCUGUUGAAGUGUGUGUGUGUGUGUGUGUGUGUGUGUGUGUGUGUGUGUGUGUGUGCAUGCUGAAAGGAAGAUGUAGCUGAGUGUGUAGAGAGAGAAUAUGUGGAGAUUUGUAACUUUGUGGAGACAAGAAAGAUAAAGCUGUAUAGAAAAGAGAUGAGUAUGUAGGACAGAGAUGUGGAUAUAGGGCAGAGAGGUAUGUGAAAAAGAGAGUGAGUGAAUGAUGUAGUAGUGUGUGAAGGAAUGUAGCAGAGUGGAGAGAAGAAAUGUGUAUAGGAGAGAUGUGGAGAUAUAUAUAAAGAGAUGUAUAUAGAAGUAUAUGGCUGUGCAGGAGAGAGAUGUAUGUAUGUAAAGAGAGAUAUAUAGCUGUAAAGAACGUAGCCAUGUGAAGAUAGACUUUCAGAAAGAGAUUUUUAAAAUGAAGUAAAAGAGAAAGUUAGUGUCAGAAAGCAUGUGUGUUUCCUUAUUUUUUUUCCCCUCAGAUAGAAAAGUCUAGCCCUCAGAGAGAUAAGAAUUUUUCCUAAGCCCUCACUGCUGUGGGAUGUUCUGUAUGUUAAAUGUGUUGCUCUGAUUGGUUAAUAAACAAAACACUGAUUGGCCAAUAGCCAGGCAGGAUGUAUAGGCAGGACAAGGAGAGAGGAGAAUUCUGGGAACAGGAAGGCUGAGGCAGAGAGAUGCUGCCAGCUGCCACCAUGAGAAGAUGUUAAGAUACCAGUAAGCCACGAGCCACAUGGCAACUUAUAGAUUAAUAGAAAUGGGUUAAUUUAAUACAUAAGAACAGCUAGCUAGAAGCCUGCCAUGGCCAUACAGUUUAUAAGUAAUAUAAGUCUCUGUGUGUUUACUUGGUUGGGUCUGAGCGGCUGUGGGACUGGCGGGUGAGAGAGAUUUGUCCUGACCGUGGGCCAGGCAGGAAAACUCUAGCUACACCUCACUACUCUGAGGCAUUCUUUUUGCUACCCUGGAGUAGUUCUGGGAGCUGGCUUCCCAGGCUGCAGUAGUAUUAGCCUGAUAGUGCCAAUGUCCCCGGCAAGUAUUUUAAGCAACCCUGGCAGUUACAGAAAGACAAUCCACAUCGCGGUUUAGCAGGCCCUGCACUGUUGCUGCUACAUGUCAGGUGCAGCAGGAAGCACCCAAGAGAAUGAAAAUACAAAAUGGUAUUUGGGGACUAUCUUUAGCUUACAGAACAAUCCACCCUACAUUUCCUUAAUGAGCUCACUUACUUCAGGUAUAGUUACCAAGGUCGCUUGCUAGUAUUUGCCCUUUUGGUUUUGGUUUGGGUUUUUGUUAUGUUUCGUUGUUUUGUUUUUUGUUUUUGACAGGGUCUUGCUUUAGGUCACUGGCUGGCCUGGACGUUUGGCAUGUCUUUUGACUUUUCAAGAAAAUGUUCGUGGCAUGACGAUAUGCCUGUGCUGCCAUUGCAUCAGUAACCCAUGGAGAUCACAUGGUAAAACCAUUGGCCUAAGAAAUGUGUUGUAUGCAAAAGAAUUACUGAAACAAAUAAGAGCUAGAGAGAGUGAAAAUGGUGCCACUAAAAAGCAGGCAGCAAUCCUGAAGGAGUCCCAGAUGAUGAGCCCAGCUUGCCAGCGCAGGUAAGAGGCUGUGUCUACACCCGUCUUCAGCAGACAUUAGGAUGUGAAAAAGACUCAUAAGAAGCUGAGGAAAUAGAAAGAAGCAAAUUCAAUUCUAGAUUCAGUGAAGUCAGCAGCCUGAAACCUUGUACAGGGUGUUUUCUGCAACCCUGGGUCCAUUCACCAAUUCAUCAUUUUUGCCCACUGCUGUGUGUUCAGUUAUAUGAGGAUGUGAUUCCUUUCAUGCAGUCGCAUGUGCUUUUCUUUGAAUAACCAAGUGUGUGAAAUAAGUGAUUGCAUCUAAUUAAAGAUAACUCAGUAACUCAUAGAAACACUGGCUGGUUUCAUGUCCUCUUUCACGCAGAGAAACCUCAGCUACGCAAACUGGCAGAUGCGAAUAGACUACUUCAGAGCUCAGCUGCUCUCCAUCAGGGAGAAACAGGUAAACUUUUACCUUUUUUAGGUAGAGCUCCCCCAAGUCAGGUGCAAGCCAGCACAGGACUAAAUCUUGGAUGUUCCUAUGAACCCUGCCUCAUUAUGUAUGGUUUUUACAAUCUGAAGCUUCCCCCCCAAAACCCCAUUAUGCCUAGCCAAGCGCUGGGGCCCAAAGCACAUGGAGCACCUGGCGGCUACCGUGUGGUGACGGCACAGAGGGAACCAAGUCUGAGUGCUGGUGCUCAGUCUAGAACACCAAAGCACUGCUGCCUCCUGGCUACACGUGGCUGGAAGAAUCUAGCCUUUCUGGACAUUAAACUGAAUUCUUGGGCUGCUCAUGUUUUUAACUUGUUCAAUUUUUGAAAAGUCCUACAACAAGAAUUUCAUUCAAAGAGACCAGAGUUCUAAAAUGAGCUGUUUGGGCUAAACAGUAAUUGCAGGUGUCUUACCUACAUCCCUCUCCAUAUUCAGGGUUAACAGAACCCACUCAGCUGGGAGUCUAACCAUUCAGAAUAAAGAACAUACGUUUCGUUUGUCUCUCAUGGUGUGGACCUGCCACACGUAGCUUUCUACAAUCUGCUAGACACACACACAGGGCUGAGUUGUAGCCACUGUAAUAUAGAAAGAAGUCAUGUGAGCACUUGCUGGCAUUGAUCCUUAAAAGCAAGUGCAGGUACAACAUCCUGCUUCCAAUCUUCUGCUUUUUCUUCUGGCUGGACAUUGGAGCUCCCACAGACAUCUCAAACCACGAGGUAGGCUUCAGGAUAAAAGGUUUUGGCACCGAAGCAAAAGACAUAAGAACCCCGAGCCCCAGAAAUCCAUGGCAGCCACGCGAUAAUUAUCUCUAGAUUAGUUAAAGGAAAGAAAGAAAGAGAGCCCUGUGGCGAGCCGCUCCUUUUCUUCCUGUUACAAGCAGCCAUUCUAGUCCCCAAUGGGAGAUAACGUUCCACCUGACCUCUGGAUCGCAAUUCUUCAUUCACCACAACAGUGACUAGGAAUUCCAUCUCCAUAUGGCACAGACAAUGUUUUAUAACUUAAGACUCUGUUAGCUCACUCAUAAAAUUGUUACAUCUAAGCGAUAAGGCAGCUAUUAAAAUUGUGUGACAUCAAGGACAUAAAGAGCUUAGCUUGGUGGCUGGCUGUGGUGUUUUCUGCUACGCUUCAGCAAGUACAUGGCUGUGUCUACUGUACCUGACUCCAAGGCCAGUGAUGCACUAAGGUCCCCAAAGACUUCUUCGAGACAGGCCCAGCUCAGACCUGCAAUCCUGGUUCAGGUCACCUGUGAUUUCCCUAGUCUCUGCUCCUUCCUUUGUACAGAAUUCUAUUUCUUCGAUCUUAUAAUUCCAGUGUAGUCUAGAGCACUUGAAGCCAUCCAAGUUGAUCACAUGACUUAAAACAGUUUGUAGCUAUUUGCGACACAAUAGUUCUAAGACUGUUUGAUAUGGCCAAGUGAGAAUCUGAUUCAUUCUCCAUCUGUCCAAAAAAUAAUAAUAAUGAAUGAGAAAUUUAGGUAAUGAGAGGGAGGCAUUUCUAUUUUAUUGUUUUAUUUUUCACUUUUUAUUAUAGACGUUAUCAGGCACACACAAAAGUAGAUCAAAUGAUGUGGUUGAUUCCUUUGUACCCACAACGCAACAUUAAUAUCAAGACAUAAUCAACCUUCUUUCACAUGUAUAACCCAACUUCAUGUAUUCACUCACUCAUUCAUUCAUGUACUCAGUCUUUUCCCUUGCAAGGCUGGGGGCCAAUCCAGAGCCUCGUGCAUGCUAAGCCACUAAGCUGUACUCCACCCCAACCCUCCUCAAUGUAUUAAAGUGCAUUUCAGGCUUCAUAUUAUUUAUCAUUAAAUACUUCCAUAUGUAGUACUUUAAAUUUUUUUGGCAGGCGGGGGGAUGCUAUUAAAUUUCACCCAUGCCAGAAGCAGAGCAAGAUGUACCCCACCUGCUUGUUGAGAGGCUAAAGCUACCCACCGGCUCCUUGUCACACGACCCACGAAGAAACCUGCUACCUCCCCAUUGGCUAACUUCUAGUAAAAGAGAUACAGCAUCCAUUUAGCUUCUUGUCCCUGCUCACUGCCGUCCACACCACAUGCACCUCUCCCAGCCCUGGUUAUAGUCUGGGCCUUGCUGGCCAGCAGAUCUGGAAGCUAGCAUGGGAUUAAGGUUUCUCCAGCCAGAGAAACGGACAGAAUGUUCAAGUAGGAAGGAACUGUAGAGGGCAGGCGAUCCCUUUCAGUUUAGAGAUAAGAAAAAAAACGAGUCAGAAGAGGGAGCAAAUUGAUUCCCAUCUGAAAUGCAAACCCAAUUAUAGGACUGUGCCGGCUGCUUUCUGUGUCAACUUGACACAGCUAGGGUCAUUUGAAAAGAAGGAAUCUUAAUUGAGAAAAUGCCUCCAUAUAACCGGCCUGUGGACAAGUCCGCGGGGCAUUUUCUUGAUUGAUGAUGGAUGUGGGAGAACCUAGCUCACUGUGGGUGGUGCUACCCCUGGGCAGGCGGUCCUGGAUGGUAUAAAAAAACAAACUAAGCAAGCCAGGGGGAACAAGCCAGUAAGCAACACUCCUCCAAGAUGAAACAAACCCUUUCCUCCCUGUGGUGAUUUGAAUGAUAACGGCCCCCAUAGUCUCAGUAUAUUUGACCGCUCAUCCCAGUUGGUAGAACUGUUUAGGAAGGAUUAAGAGCUGUGGCCUUGUCGGAGGAGGUGUGUCACUGGGGUUGGGCUUUGAAGCUUCAAAAGCCCACACCAGGCUCAAGUCUCUCUCUCUCUCUCUCUCUCUCUCUCUCUCUCUCUCUCUCUCUCUCUCUCUCCCUGCCUGAUGCCUGAGAAUCAAGAUGUAAGCUCUCAGCUACUGCUCCAGCACUAUUCCUGCCCACCUGCUACCACGCUCCCUGCCAUGGUGAAAAUGGAUUAAUCCUCUGGAACUGUAAGCAAGCCCCCAAUAAAAUGCUUUCUUUUAUAAGCUGCCUGGCCUUGGUGUCUCUUCACAGCAAUAGAACAGUAACUAAGACACUCUUCAAGUUGCUUUUAGUCAUGGUGUGAUGGAUUCAUCACAGCAAUAAAAAUUCUAAAAAAGACAAGGACUCAGCCCUCUAUCUAGGUUAGCAGUUCUUCACCUCUGGGGUUUCAACCCCUUUGGGGGUGCAACGACCCUUUCACAGAGGUUACCUAAGACCUCAGGAAAACACAGAUAUUUACAUUAUGAUUCAUA